UACGGGGGGGGCAAGCGUUGUCCGGAAUCACUGGGCGUAAAGGGCGCGUAGGCGGCCCGGUAAGUAGGGGGUGAAAUCCUGCGGCUUAACCGCAGGGCUGCCUUCUAAACUGUCGGGCUCGAGCACGGUAGAGGCAGAUGGAAUUCCCGGUGUAGCGGUGGAAUGCGUAGAGAUCGGGAAGAACAUCAGUGGCGAAGGCGGUCUGCUGGGCCGUUGCUGACGCUGAGGCGCGACAGCGUGGGGAGCAAACAGG
rnacentral:rRNA from 1 species